CACGUAGGGCGCAAGCGUUGUCCGGAAUUAUUGGGCGUAAAGAGCUCGUAGGCGGUCUGUUGCGUCUGCUGUGAAAACUCGGGGCUUAACCCCGAGCCUGCAGUGGAUACGGGCAGACUAGAGGUAGGUAGGGGAGACUGGAAUUCCUGGUGUAGCGGUGGAAUGCGCAGAUAUCAGGAGGAACACCGGUGGCGAAGGCGGCCCACUGGAUCGGUACUGACGCUGAGGUGCGAAAGCGUGGGGAGCAAACAGG
rnacentral:rRNA from 1 species